CGUACUCUGUCGUGGCUGUCAGGAUGCCAAGAGACAUGCGAGACCCCGGGCCAAAAUAGCGACGUAGACAUGCCCAGAGAGGAAAGCUGGCACGAGGUGAUAUAUAAGGUGCAGACCACUCUGUGCCGGACGCUGUGCGAGCAGAGAAAUAAAUGCAUGAUCCACCAGCAGCCUGAGAGCAUCUCGGUAAGGAUCCAGCCCUGAGGGCUCUUUUUGGGCAGGGAAGGCAGCGCUGCGAGCCCCCCGAUCCCAGCUUUGGCAGCAGGGGCUGCGGGCUGACAGCUGCCGGCCUCCCCAGCCCAUUUCCUCCGGCUGCUGCCAAGCCGAUCGCUGCGGAGCUCUUCUCGAAAUGAAUUUUCUGGAAAACAAAUUAAAGGAGGGGGGUUACAUCACGCAGCAGCCAGCCCAAGCAGCGCUGCGCUGUGCGCGCUGACAAACCCUGCCUGUAUUUUGGGCUCUGCACCACAUUGCUCGCAGCUGCUGCCGCCACUGCGCUGGAAUUUGCAGCUCGCCAUCUAAAUAUACUGUAACAAUAAACUGAUCAAAGCAGCUAAAUAUUAUUGUCUGCUCUCCGAUGGGCGGCGCGGAGGACGGCCUCCCAGAAAACCUCCGGUUACUUCGUUUUUCCCCCUGUGCA
rnacentral:lncRNA from 1 species